UACGUAGGGUCCGAGCGUUGUCCGGAAUUACUGGGCGUAAAGAGCUCGUAGGUGGUUUGUCGCGUUGUCCGUGAAAACUCACAGCUCAACUGUGGGCGUGCGGGCGAUACGGGCAGACUGGAGUACUGCAGGGGAGACUGGAAUUCCUGGUGUAGCGGUGGAAUGCGCAGAUAUCAGGAGGAACACCGGUGGCGAAGGCGGGUCUCUGGGCAGUAACUGACGCUGAGGAGCGAAAGCGUGGGUAGCAAACAGG
rnacentral:rRNA from 1 species